rnacentral:rRNA from 1 species
UACGUAGGGUGCAAGCGUUGUCCGGAAUUAUUGGGCGUAAAGAGCUCGUAGGCGGUCUGUCGCGUCUGCUGUGAAAUCCCAGGGCUUAACCCUGGGCCUGCAGUGGGUACGGGCAGACUAGAGUGCGGUAGGGGAGAUCGGAAUUCCUGGUGUAGCGGUGAAAUGCGCAGAUAUCAGGAGGAACACCCGUAGCGAAGGCGGCACUCUGGGCCGAUACUGACACUGAGGAGCGAAAGCGUGGGGAGCGAACAGG